rnacentral:rRNA from 1 species
UACGGAGGGUGCAAGCGUUGUCCGGAAUCACUGGGCGUAAAGGGCGCGUAGGCGGCUCAUGAAGGCUGUGGUGAAAGUCCGGGGCUCAACCUCGGAUCGGCCGUGGCGACUCGUGGGCUGGAGCACUGUAGAGGCGGGUGGAAUUCCACGUGUAGCGGUGAAAUGCGUAGAUAUGUGGAGGAACACCAGUGGCGAAGGCGACUCUCUGGGCUGUAACUGACGCUGAGGCGCGAAAGCGUGGGGAGCAAACAGG